GAUGAACGCUAGCGGCAGGCCUAAUACAUGCAAGUCGAGGGGCAGCGGUUCGGCCGGCGACCGGCGCACGGGUGCGUAACGCGUAUGGAAUGUGUCCAGCUCUCUGGGAUAGCCCCCGGAAACGGGGAUUAAUACCGGAUGGCCCGGUGGUGCGGCAUCGCAGCAACGGUAAAGCUCCGGCGGAGCUGGGUCACCAUGCGUUCGAUUAGCUUGUUGGCGGGGUAACGGCCCACCAAGGCGACGAUCGAUAGGGGUCCUGAGAGGGAGAUCCCCCACACUGGUACUGAGACACGGGCCAGACUCCUACGGGAGGCAGCAGUAGGAAAUAUUGGGCAAUGGGCGCAAGCCUGACCCAGCCAUGCCGCGUGCGGGAAGAAGGCCCUCUGGGUUGUAAACCGCUUUUGGGAGGGGACAAAACACGGGUGCGCCCGGGAUUGAGUGUACCUCCAGAAUAAGCACCGGCUAACUCCGUGCCAGCAGCCGCGGUAAGAC
rnacentral:rRNA from 1 species